GUCUAUGACCACACCACCCGGAAUGCACCCGAUCUGAUCUGAUCUCAGAAGCUAAGCAGAGUCGUUCCUGGUUAGUACUGGGGUGGGAGUUCUGGAGGCUAGAAGUCCAGGAUC
rnacentral:rRNA from 1 species